rnacentral:rRNA from 1 species
AAGGGGUGGGCAAGUCUGGUGUCAGCCGCCGCGGUAAUACCAGCACCCCGAGUGGUCGGGACGAUUAUUGGGCCUAAAGCAUCCGUAGCCGGUACUGCAAGUCUUCCGUUAAAUCCACCUGCUUAACAGUUGGGCUGCGGGGGAUACUACAGCGCUAGGAGGCGGGAGAGGCAAGCGGUACUCAAUGGGUAGGGGUAAAAUCCGCUGAUCCAUUGAAGACCACCAGUGGCGAAGGCGGCUUGCCAGAACGCGCUCGACGGUGAGGGAUGAAAGCUGGGGGAGCAAACCGGAUUAGAUACCCGGGUAGUCCCAGCUGUAAACGAUGCAGACUCGGUGAUGGGCUGGCCUUGUGCCAACCCAGUGCCGCAGGGAAGCCGUUAAGUCUGCCGCCUGGGGAGUACGGUCGCAAGACUGAAACUUUAAAGGAAUUGGCGGGGGAGCACCACAAGGGGUGAAGCCUGCGGUUCAAUUGGAGUCAACGCCGGGAAUCUUACCGGGGGCGACAGCAGAGUGAAGGUCAAGCUGAAGACUUUACCAGACAAGCUGAGAGGAGGUGCAUGGCCGUCGCCAGCUCGUGCCGUGAGGUGUCCUGUUAAGUCAGGUAACGAGCGAGAUCCCUACCUCUAGUUGCUACCAUUACUCUCAGGAGUAGUGGGGCUAAUUAGAGGGACCGCCGCCGCUGAGGCGGAGGAAGGAGGGGGCUACGGCAGGUCAGUAUGCCCCGAAACCCUCGGGCCACACGCGGGCUGCAAUGGUAAGGACAAU